rnacentral:tRNA from 1 species
GUGGGAGUGGCUUAAUUAUCAAAGCACUUGCUUUGCAAGCAUAGGACCUGAUUUUGAUUCUCAGUACCCAUG